rnacentral:rRNA from 1 species
UGGGGAAUUUUGGACAAUGGGCGAAAGCCUGAUCCAGCAAUGCCGCGUGUGUGAAGAAGGCCUUCGGGUUGUAAAGCACUUUUGUCCGGAAAGAAAUCCUUGGCUCUAAUACAGUCGGGGGAUGACGGUACCGGAAGAAUAAGCACCGGCCAACUACGUGCCAGCAGCCGCGGUAAUACGUAGGGUGCAAGCGUUAAUCGGAAUUACUGGGCGUAAAGCGUGCGCAGGCGGUUUGCUAAGACCGAUGUGAAAUCCCCGGGCUCAACCUGGGAACUGCAUUGGUGACUGGCAGGCUAGAGUAUGGCAGAGGGGGGUAGAAUUCCACGUGUAGCAGUGAAAUGCGUAGAGAUGUGGAGGAAUACCGAUGGCGAAGGCAGCCCCCUGGGCCAAUACUGACGCUCAUGCACGAAAGCGUGGGGACGCAAACAGGAUUAGAUACCCUGGUAGUCCACGCCCUAAACGAUGUCAACUAGUUGUUGGGGAUUCAUUUCCUUAGUAACGUAGCUAACGCGUGAAGUUGACCGCCUGGGGAGUACGGUCGCAAGA